ensembl:lncRNA
AAAGGGGAAGAUUUUGCUCCUCUGCUGGUUUCCCUGCUCACCAACAAGCCCAGCUGACAUCAAUUACCACCAUCACCAGUAACCUCUCCCCUCACCACCCUCAGGGAAAACCGCUGCCAUUUCCUGCCCACCGCCUGCCCCACACAAUGGGGUGUUGCCCCAGGAUCUUGCUCCAGACAUUGGGACAUGUACAAAGUUACAGAAGAACUCUGGGUAAUGAGCUUCGGAAGGAGAGGCUGUGUCUCCUGCCUUUCCAACACAGAACACCUGGGACAGUGCCCAACUCAUAGGAAGAGCUCAGCAAAUGUUUGUGGGAGUAAUUUUUAAGUCCCUCGUCACAUUGUGAUCCUGUUGUGAAACCAUGGGACAUCAGGCUCCAAGGUUAGAGCCUGGGAGCCAUGACUACUGAGCCCGUGUGGCGAAACUACUGAAGUCCACAUGCCAUAGAGCCCAUGAUCUGCAACAAGAGAAGCCACCUCAAGGAGAAGCCCACACACUGCAACCGAGAGAAAGCCCAUGCAGCUACAGAGACCCAGCCCAGCCAAAAAUAAAUAAAAUUAUUUUAAAAAUUGAGCAGAAGGUACAGAGAUUUCUGGCGGACCCCACACACAUGCACAGCCACCCCAUCAUCAACAUUCCCCAUCAGAGGCUCAUGCAUUCUUUUUUUAAUGCCCUCCAUUUCUUCUUUUGGAUUUUCUUUCUUUUUGCUACAAAACUCCUUCCUCCUCCAGAAAUGCCUCUCCUUUCAUUUCACACUUAAUGUUCUUUUGACUUUAGCUCCUUAUCACUGGCAUGGAGUCUCAGGGCUUCUUCCUUAGGUCCUUCCCCUAGCUACAUUUUCUCUACCCAAAAUUUCCCUUGUUAUUCUCUGCAUCUAUUAACAAUGAAUUUUCUUCUCACUGCAUUUUAUGUAUUAGUAUAAAAGUAAUAGGGCUUCCUGGUGGCUCAGACGGGAAAGAAUCUGCCUGAAAUGCAGGAGACCUGGGUUGGGAAGAUACCCUGGAGAAGGGGAUGGCAACCCACUCCAGUAUUCUUGCCUGGAGAAUCCCCAUGGACAGAGUAGCCUGGAGGGCUAUAGUCCAUGGGGUUGCAAAGAGUCGGACAUGACUCAGCGACUAGGCACAG